ACUCGUAUCACUCGUUGGGACUUCAGACACACUAAAACUUUCAUUUGCAAGACAUUGAACUUAGAUUUUACUGAAAUAUCCCUUUAUUUGUUCAACUACACAAAAUGUUAGUCUUUAGUUUCAAUUUUAUAGCCGCUAUGUUCAUUCACAUUCAUCACCACGCCUGUUAUGUUUUUCUAAUCGACAGGGCCCAUAUCAAUGGACGGAAAAGGAAUGAUAAUGUUAUCACCUUGGGAGAGAACAGUUAAUCUUGUUUUUGAGUUUUUUGUCAAAGUAUCAUCUUGUACCUGCUGGCCAGAAAGGGACCUCUUUCGUGCAUGCUUAAUGUCAAUAUUUGAAAUUUCAAACAAACCCUCACUAG
rnacentral:lncRNA from 1 species